rnacentral:rRNA from 1 species
AUUAGGCAGCAGUUAGGAAUCUUCCGCAAUGGGCGAAAGCCUGACGGAGCAACGCCGCGUGAGUGAUGAAGGUCUUCGGAUCGUAAAACUCUGUUAUUAGGGAAGAACAAAUGUGUAAGUAACUAUGCACGUCUUGACGGCACCUAAUCAGAAAGCCACGGCUAACUACGUGCCAGCAGCCGCGGUAAUACGUAGGUGGCAAGCGUUAUCCGGAAUUAUUGGGCGUAAAGCGCGCGUAGGCGGUUUUUUAAGUCUGAUGUGAAAGCCCACGGCUCAACCGUGGAGGGUCAUUGGAAACUGGAAAACUUGAGUGCAGAAGAGGAAAGUGGAAUUCCAUGUGUAGCGGUGAAAUGCGCAGAGAUAUGGAGGAACACCAGUGGCGAAGGCGACUUUCUGGUCUGUAACUGACGCUGAUGUGCGAAAGCGUGGGGAUCAAACAGGAUUAGAUACCCCAGUAGUCCAAUAUUCCUAACUGCUGCCU